rnacentral:lncRNA from 1 species
UUUGGUAGUGAGAUAUAUUAUGAUCCCUAUCAUAAUAUCAUCAAAACUCUUUUCAAUAGAUUGGAACCAUUCCAACUCUGCCCAUCAAAGAUUAUCGAUCAUUGAGAUGAUGCUCAUGGGUCUCACAAUCCAUCAAUGACAUCUAGCAGUAUGUAGUGGUAAUCUAGUAGAAUAAAAGGUGAUGAAUCUUUAGAUGUAGUUAACGUAUGAUACAGUUCCUCUAUCGUGAGUUCCGACCAGAUGACAGAUUUUGGAUGAAUUAUUAAAUCUCAUCAUCGAUCAUAUGAUAGAUUUAAUUAGCUCGAGUUCAUGUAUAAUUCUCUUGAAAACUCAUUUUCAUCAAUCACAUUGCUAUGGCCAUAGACUUAAAGACUCAGCUUCUUAAAUCCCAUAGGACUACUUCCUUCUGCUAGGAUCGAUAGAUUCCAUCUAGGUGC